UACGAAGGGGCUAGCGUUGUUCGGAAUUACUGGGCGUAAAGCGCACGUAGGCGGAUUGUUAAGUGAGGGGUGAAAUCCCAGGGCUCAACCCUGGAACUGCCUCUCAUACUGGCAAUCUCGAGUUCGAGAGAGGUGAGUGGAAUUCCGAGUGUAGAGGUGAAAUUCGUAGAUAUUCGGAGGAACACCAGUGGCGAAGGCGGCUCACUGGCUCGAUACUGACGCUGAGACGCG
rnacentral:rRNA from 1 species